GCAAAAUUGCACAUGGCCCAUUUAGUCCAGCUUGCUUGCCAACUCUUCUACUCAAAGACAGGGGGACCUAUUCCGCCUAUCUGUCUCAGAACCUUUAAAAUGGGGUCAGGAAAUUUGCUACUUGGGCUUAGCAAUGUGCUGGUUGUCUUUGUCCCACACUCUGCAUCUAUCUAGGUGUUUUGCAUAUAAGAACAUUUCAAUAGCAUUAAAUCAUCAACAACCUAAAAGUCAUGUCUACACCUGCAAAGUGAAAUGUGGAAUUGAGAUAGUUUAGAGAAGAAAAAGGGAUUUUUGAAAAUAGACCCAAAUAGUCCAUAUGAAAAAAAGAUUUAUACUUUUGGGCAAGACUCAUGGCCCACUGAAUUUGAUAUUUUGACUCUAAGGGUGUAUCACAGGCUGUGGAAUGAAAGGGGUAUAGGAGCCCAGAGCCACUCAAUUGGUUCACUGGUUAACCGCCCAGCUCUCCACUUUGUCAUGGUGGGUCCUGCAGAAGUGAGCUUCAUGCUACUGAUUAUUUACUUGCAAAGUGGGCGUUGUGCCUGGGUGAUACCCUGCCUCCCUAUGCAGUGCAGUAGAACACAGCCUAACUGUGUUCCUCCCUCCACUUCUAACACCUGAAUGAGAUAAAAGCCUGCUUAACACAGCAUGUAAAGAAAGACUGAGUUCUGGCCACUCAACUCCAGACUCCUAGAGGUGUUUGACCAAAUGGCCAUCAACCAGGUGUUUUGGGUUUUUUUCAUUUGAUAAGUGAGGUAAAUCACAGACAUUAUGUAAGGAAUAUGUACAAUAGGAUUUUCCCCAAGAUUUUUUCUAGUACCUUUAUCCCUGAGCUGGUGUGGCCAAACCAUACCAACUCUGUGGGCCACAUUGUUUAGAGUCAUUAACAGUUUGUUUCUUUUACCUCAUCAGUUGUUGUACAAUGCACAGUUGCACUAGGGUCUCCUCUAGGUACUUUGGGUGGUUUUCAAGAAUGUAUCUAUCGAUGCCCAUGAAGAAGUCAUCUUGAACAAGGGCAUCUGUCCUUUCUUCCUCCUGAGCUCUGGUCUCUGUCAGGGAUAUCUCUCAUCAGAAUCCCCAUCCCAGCCCCAGUAUAGUUAGUGCUCUGUGAAGUCUCAAUAUAUAUUAAAGUUUCAUGAUAAUGGGAAUUUCAUCUUUGACCUAUUCUUAGAGAUGGGCAGUGAUAAAUACACCGGGAAUCCAACAUUUCCCUCACUUAAAUGGAGAACGCUCCAAGAUUUAGUCAUUCCUGAUGAUGGCAGGAAGAGACAGUAAGGUUGACUAUCAUUUGAUGAAUCUGGAAGGGUAGAGAGACAAUCAAAAUAACCAAGAUCCUAAUUCCUUUUUACUUCUUUCACACACAAAUGUGAUUUUAGUUAAUAAAGGCAAACAGUUAAUUGGGGGGAUUUUCCUUCUCAAUUUGGGAGGAAACCCUUUCCCAAGUGAGACAAAUGACCAUCCUUUUUCUUUCAUAAGAAACUGAGUGUAUGUUUUCUCACAAAACAUCUAAUGUGUGUGUGCAUGUGUGCUCACGUGUACACGCACAUGGACACAUUGCAUGAUACUUACAUUGGUCUACUUUCUGCAGAGGAUCAACUUUACUGCUUUCUCUCUUUUAAAAGUAUCCUUUCAACACUAAAUAUUUCUUAACCUGCGUGAAGGCAAUAUUCUAUAUACUCCCUAAAGUCUAUCUACAGCUACCUUUCCUGUCUAGCCUGCUAUGUGGACCUCUGUUCUCUCUGAAUUCCAGAAAUGCUUUUGAAAACUAGCACCUUUUAAAAAUAGUGACUCUGGACGCCCUCUGCCGUCUAUUGUAAGUUCUUCAGCUCUGCUACUGACAGCAAAGCAGGAAGUUGGCCAGGGAUUAUUGAGAAUACAUGCACACAGCCAGCACUUGGGCAGGCAAUACAGAGAUAAGGUUAAAAACAUGACCUCCAGCAUCAGACCUCCUGGGUUCAAAUACUGUGCUCUCCCGCUCUCUAGUGUUAUAUCCACAGGCAAGCAACUAAACGUCUCUGAGCUUCAGUUUCUUUAUCUGAGAAAUGGCAUAAUAGUACUUUAUGGGGUUUCCCAGGGAUCAAAUGAGAUAAAGUGCUUUGCACAGGACCUGGCAAAUGGUAAGUCUUAUUAUUAUUAUUAUUAUUUGAAACAUAGUUUCGCUCUUGUCGCCUAGGCUAGAGUGCAAUGGCGCAGUCUAGGCUCACUGUAACCUCCGUCUCCCAGGUUCAAGCAAUUCUCCCGUCUCAACCUCCUGAGUAGCUGAAAUUACAGAUGCCCGCCACCACGCCUGGCUAAUUUUUUUAAAACUGUGAAAUGCCUAAAGUAUAUUGUGGCAGACUGUACAUAUUAACUAAAAUCUGCCGUUAAUUAAUGAAAUCACUCUUUCAAAAAAUAUUAAGACCUCAUUAGAUGUAUAAAUAAUAUGCUACAUAAGCACCUUGGGGUCAUAUAAAACAAAUGUAGAAUACUCUGUUCUUCAGGAGAGACCGGAUAUGGAGAAAAAGAUCUGUAACAAUACAAGGCAGUGUACUUUACAUGUUAAAAUAAAUGACACAGACAACUGGUUUUACAAAACACCAGCAAAAGGUCUUCCUUUAUACAUGCCACAGGGUGAUAUGAAGAUUACCCUAGACUUAGCACUUAUCCCAACUGCAAUCAUGUGGUCAUUUGCCCAGUUAUCUUUUUGAUGUCUGUUGCUCUUGCAGAAUGCAAGCUCCAUGGGAACAGAGGACAUUUAAAAAAUCUUCUUGUUUUGACUCCAUGUUAUUGAAUAAAACAUAUCUCAAUCAGAAUACACCAAUUUCCAUUAAUUUUUGAGAACACUUUUUUGAGCUAAUGCCAUUUAAGCCAAUGUAAUUCCUUGAUUCAUUUUCUAUGCAAUACAGUUGAACCACUUCCUUUUAAAAAAUACCAUUUCACUUUUAUUUUUGUGCAACCAUUUCCUUAGAAUCAAUUUUACCAUGAUUUGGUUCCUCACGGUUUCUUAUGCAUAUCAAAUAUUACUGAUGAUAGCUUUUGCCGCUGUAAUCUUUUUUAUGGCUAGUUUAUCUAUGAAGUGUAAUUUCUCUGAAUCAAAUUUAUAGGUAGAAAUGUUAUGAAGGAAAUUUGAAUUGUGGGUUAUUUUAGUCAAGUCUCAUGUAGUUUUGCCACAAUUGGCCUUAGUUUGUAUGGAUUUCUUUAUGUAUAUUUGAAAAAAUAAAUGGAUAUAUUUUUCAAUGUCUUUAACCUAAUGCCUUGGAACUCUUGAUUCAAUUAAUUCAUUGGUGGGCUUGGGGUCAGCAAGAGAGAAUAGCAGAGGAAGGGUACUUAUUAUGUGUAGGGCAGAUGGUAGAGACUACAGACCUCAGCAGUGGGUGCUGGCAUGACCCUCUAAAAGGCCUGCUGGGCCCAACACUGCAUCAGCACAUUAUUUACUCAGGAGUCCAGAGACAAGGCCAGACUUCCCACUCUUCCCCCUCCUCACAACUGAGACCAGAGGACACAGAGGAUGAAUCUGAAGCCCACAACUCCUGUCCACAUAGACACACAAGACACACAAGCUUUCUGUUAUACCAACUAUUCUUAAAGUGUGUUGCCCAGACUAGCAAAGGCAUCAUCUGAGAAUGCAUUUGUAAUGCAAAUUCUUGGGCCCUGACUCAUAUGUAUGGAAUCAGAUAUUCUGGGGGUGGGGCCCAUCAAUCUGUAUUUUAACAAGCUCUCCAAGUGAUUCUGAUGCCUGUUCAGGUUUAAGAUGAGAGCCUGUUCAGCUGUCAUCUUGGCUAUGAAAAGGUAGGAGGAAGAUACGCAAAAAGAUUGAACAUUUACCUCAAAGAAAUCAAAGACUAAAAUAUCCUUUAAGCAAGAUCAAGUCUCCCAUGACUCCUGUUUUCAGUAUAACCAGAGUUCAUAAGAAGUUUUAGUUCACUGCAAAGAAACAGAGAAGCCUACAUUUUUGCCUACCCAAAUUGUAGCAGGUAAAUCCUUACCUCCUCAUUAUAAUAUCCCAACAAUAUUCAUUAUGAGUAGUUAAAAGUUUGUAUUUAUUUCCUGAAUCAUCCUCAACAAAACUAUCAACAAAUAUUGCCCAGGAUUGUUUUAUUUCACAACCAAGUCCAUUCUUCAGUAGGAAUUUGGCCACUCUGUAAUGAGCACCUCCUACAGAAACAAAAAGAUCCCUGGGAGUCAACAUGGCAGGCUAAAAUUUUCUGUGUUGGGACAGAGAUCUUGUCUGUCUUUUCCCUGUGGCAUGUAGAGUCUUUCGUAGUGCCUUGUCCUUUGUAGAUUCUCAAAAUAGAUAUGGUGAAUUAAUGGAGAAUCCUUGAGAAUUUAAAGAGCUUGCAAAUGCCUCAUUGAAAAAGUGACACAAGUUAGACCUUGAAUAAUAGGCAGAACAGAAUAGAGAAAGAGUGGGGACACUUUGGUUGGGAGGAGGAAGGGAUACACAGUGGGCUGAGCAAAACUUGGAGUCAGGUCUAAAUGUGGAAGGUUGGGACUGGCUGUCUUAGUCUCUUCAGGCUGCUAUAACAAAAUACCAAAAACUGGGUGGCUUAUAAAUAACAGAAAUAUAUUUCUCACAGUUCUGAAGGCUGGGAAAUCCAAGAACAAGACACCAGCAUUUGGUGUCUAGUGAGAGCCCAUUUUCUGGUUCAUAGACAGCGUCUUUUUGCCAUGACCUCGCUUAAAGGAAGGGGUGACCAAAUUUCUUUGGGCUUGUUUUAUAAUGACACAAAUCCCAUUCAUGAGGGCACCACCCUAAUUCCUUCCCAAAGGCUACAUCAUCUAAUACCAACACCUUGGGGAUUUGGAGUUCAACAUAUGAGUUUGGGGGGACAUUCAGACCCUGCACUGAGUGUAUGGUAUUAGAGACGAAAAGCUGUCCAUGGGGGACCAAUAUGACCACCAACAUUGUUAUACAAUAUAGUUAAAUGAGCUGGUGAGUUAAAUAAGUACUAAUCCUCUGAUACAUCCCCUACCAUGCUAGGCACCCAGCAAACAGAGCAGAAAGGACAGACAUGGCACCUGAGUCUAGUGAAGAAAACAGACAGUGACAGGCAUAUGAUAAGCACUUUGAUAAAUGAGGUACAUGGGGCACAUGGGGAGUUCACCUAACCAGGUGAGACUAGACCAGAAAGCCUUCUCAGAUGAAAAGAUGUCUAAGCCAAGACCUGAAUGAUGAGUAGGAAUUAGCCAUUCCACAAGAGGGGAAGAGGGGCGUAGAGUAGCAAGAGUUGGAGCUGGAUGGACAAAUGUGGGCCAGAUUAGGAAGGACCUUCUAAACCAUGUUGAAGAGCCUGAGCUUUAUCCAGAAGCAUGUGAGGUCCUCAGGAGGUUUUAAACAGGGGAGAAAACAGACUAUCUACUACAGUUUCACAGAAUUUAUUCUUUGAAAUUCCUACCACUGAGAUGGGAUAUAUGCUCCCUCCAUUUGAAUCUGGGGGGGCUUGGGACUUUAGUGGAAGUGAUGUUAUGAGACUUCUGAGACUAGGUCAUAAAAUGUAACUGCUUCUGCCUGGUCCUCUUGGGACAGUCACUCCUAGUACCUAGCCACCAUGCUGUGGGGAAGCUAUGUGUAGACAUGUUCCAGCCCCAGCACUAGCUGAGGUCCUA
rnacentral:lncRNA from 10 species